CGAGCGAGCUGAAUUCAAAGAUCCCUUCGGGGUGAUUUGUUGGACGCUAGCGGCGGAUGGGUGAGUAACACGUGGGCAAUCUGCCCUAAAGACUGGGAUACCACUUGGAAACAGGUGCUAAUACCGGAUAACAACAUGAAUCGCAUGAUUCAAGUUUGAAAGGCGGCGCAAGCUGUCACUUUAGGAUGAGCCCGCGGCGCAUUAGCUAGUUGGUGGGGUAAAGGCCUACCAAGGCAAUGAUGCGUAGCCCAGUUGAGAGACUGAUCGGCCACAUUGGGACUGAGACACGGCCCAAACUCCUACGGGAGGCAGCAGUAGGGAAUCUUCCACAAUGGACGCAAGUCUGAUGGAGCAACGCCGCGUGAGUGAAGAAGGUUUUCGGAUCGUAAAGCUCUGUUGUUGGUGAAGAAGGAUAGAGGCAGUAACUGGUCUUUAUUUGACGGUAAUCAACCAGAAAGUCACGGCUAACUACGUGCCAGCAGCCGCGGUAAU
rnacentral:rRNA from 1 species